AGAGACCGGCGCACGGGUGCGUAACGCGUAUGCAAUCUACCUUUUACAGGGGAAUAGCCCAGAGAAAUUUGGAUUAAUGCCCCAUAGUAUAAUUGAAUGGCAUCAUUUAAUUAUUAAAGUCACAACGGUAAAAGAUGAGCAUGCGUCCCAUUAGUUAGUUGGUAAGGUAACGGCUUACCAAGACAAUGAUGGGUAGGGGUCCUGAGAGGGAGAUCCCCCACACUGGUACUGAGACACGGACCAGACUCCUACGGGAGGCAGCAGUGAGGAAUAUUGGACAAUGGGCGCAAGCCUGAUCCAGCCAUGCCGCGUGCAGGAAGACGGUCCUAUGGAUUGUAAACUGCUUUUAUACAGGAAGAAACACUCCGACGUGUCGGAGCUUGACGGUACUGUAGGAAUAAGGAUCGGCUAACUCCGUGCCAGCAGCCGCGGUAAUACGGAGGAUCCAAGCGUUAUCCGGAAUCAUUGGGUUUAAAGGGUCCGUAGGCGGUUUAAUAAGUCAGUGGUGAAAUCUGGUCGCUCAACGAUCAAACGGCCAUUGAUACUGUUAGACUUGAAUUAUAAGGAAGUAACUAGAAUAUGUAGUGUAGCGGUGAAAUGCUUAGAUAUUACAUGGAAUACCAAUUGCGAAGGCAGGUUACUACUUAUGGAUUGACGCUGAUGGACGAAAGCGUGGGGAGCGAACAGGAUUAGAUACCCUGGUAGUCCACGCCGUAAACGAUGGAUACUAGCUGUUGGGCGCAAGUUCAGU
rnacentral:rRNA from 1 species